GCCGGGCAUGGUGGUGCGUGCCUGUAGUCCCAGCUACUUGGGAGGCUGAGGCAGGGGAAUCGCUUGAACCUGGGAGGCGGAGGUUGUAGUGAGCCAAGAUGGCGCCACUACACUCCAGCCUGGUGACAGAGUGAGACUCUGUCUCAA
ensembl:misc_RNA Metazoa_SRP Metazoan signal recognition particle RNA